rnacentral:rRNA from 1 species
UGAAAGCCUUACGGAGCAAUUCCGUGUGAGGGAGGAAGGCCUUAGGGUUGUAAACCUUUUUUCUCUGGGAAGAAAACCUGACUGUACCAGUGGAAUAAGCCUCGGCUAACUCCGUGCCAGCAUCCGCGGUAAUACGGAGGAUGCAAGCGUUAUCCGGAAUCAUUGGGCGUAAAGCGUCCGCAGGUGGCUUUACAAGUCUGUUGUUAAAGCCCAGGGCUCAACCUUGGAUCAGCAAUGGAAAAUGGUAGUCUUGAGUGCGGUAGGGGCAGAGGGAAUUCCCAGUGUAGCGGUGAAAUGUGUAGAUAUUGGGAAUAACCCCUGUGGCGAAGGCGCUGUGCUGGACCCCAACUCUCCCUUAUGGCCGAAAGCUAGGGGAGGG